AAACACUUUUUUAAAAUGUUGCUAUUUUUUCUUAUCUUCCCUCCAGCGUUGAGGCACCCCUUGCCCCCCUGAUGGGCCCCCACUUUGAAAAACACUGCUAGAGAACACCUUAGAAAUGGAAAUAGGCUCAUUUAAACCAGUAGGARAAGGCCACAAGACUAAAAGGGUUAACAUAGUGACUCCCACAAUUAUCCUGAGAGACUGGGUUUGUCAAAGCAAAGUCACCAUUAUAGAAUAAAAACUUAAAGAAAGUUUUAACUUUUCUAAGAAAACACAUUAAAACUAUGUAAAGUUUCAAAAGGUCCUAUAAGGCUUGUAUUUUCUUAGCGACACUUUAAUCAAAUGUGAGUGAUGAAACCGCUCACUACAGUGGCAGGACAAGAAAAAAGUGCAUUUUGUGUUUUUUAUUUUAACUGCUUUGAGUCUGAUUGUGGCCUCGGUGUGCCCGGCAGGACAGGCAGGCAGCACAUCUGAGCAAAAACACAACAUUUACCACCAAAAAAUGAUGAAAUUGAUCGGAUAAAAUACAUUAGCAUUGUUUGUUGGUUCAAACCCAAGAAGCUGACUCUGGCCUGCAGUCUGCAGCGGUGGUUUGUGCUCAGACCUGCUGAAGGUUGGAGGAAUCCCUGCGCUCUGCAGCGCUCUGACAGCAGCACUGCAGGACUCAGCAGUGAUGCGGUGAGAACAGCCAGCGGAUGUCGGAGCGUGAAAGGUGAGCGGGGAUUUCAUCAACUGCCUGCUGGGCACCAUGUUAGGGUUGCUGUCUCUCACGGGAGAACMUUUGUUUUGUCUUUUUGUUUUUUUCCCCCCUUUAAAGAAAAAAAAAGACUUUUUUUUCCUAUUAACUGACUUUAAGAACUUAUCCAAACAGUUUGUGAAGCUGGCAGAGAAGACGAGGUGUUAUUUCUGAGUGGUGGAUGUGGAGGUGGAUGUGGAGGAGGUGCAGGAGGAGGCCCGGGAGAGUUGAGAGUGAACAAAGCUGCGUUGAAUCGGUUUGACUGCAGAAAUGAGACGAGUCGGCUUCCAGUGGCUCUCCGUCGUCCUGCCAGCCUGCCUGUUGCUUGGUAACUGGUGGAUGUGGGGUUUUUUUUUUUUUUUGGUUGUUUUUUUUGUGUCGGCUGAAGGCUGAAGUCAAAAGAUCAGCUCUGAAAGAAGAACGGAGGCAUUUCAAAACAAAUGACCACCGUCCACUCAACAUUUUUCCCCCUCACAGACACAUACAGUACUCCACCUGUCCGGUACAGCUCCAACUCUGACUGGUUGUCAGGAAACACACCUGCGGCGGGGCCCCCCCUCAGGCGACCUGCAGAGUUCUGCUGUAAUGGGCCUCCUCGUGGUUGGAGGUCUUCUGUCAAACCUCGGCGCUGAAAGAAAAGGUUUGAAGUCAGAAUAAAGAAUCAGAGGGAAAGAAAAAGGCCGAUCUCCUCUGGGCUUUCUCCCGUGGGGUGGUUAGGGCGCUGAAAGGUUCAUUUCCUGAGUGGACGGACAGAAAUCUCUGUUUUCAAGAGUCGUCUCUGGCUGAAAAYGUUUCUUAUUCCAAAUAUUUAAUUUCAACAAUCUUUUUGAGAGCCUUCGAAGAAAAUAAAAGUCCUGUAGRGGCUCCUGAACAACAUUACCCUGCACUUCCUGCAGACUAACAGGAACCCUCCUUCCUCCACCUCCUAUCUUUAGAAUGCUCCGGAGGGGUCCUCGCUGCACGGAAGGUGACCGAACCUCCUCCUGAAGGGAAAAAAACUGACAAAGUGWAAAGGGAUUAUUAUUUUCUUUCUUCUUUUUCUUUUUGAAGCCGAGGAAGACUUCUGUAACGUCCUCGUCAAAGCCUCUGCUGAGUAAAAUCAGCAUGUUCAGGUGGAAGAGAGGAUCAUAAACUUCUCAACGGAUUUUUUUUUUUUUAAGUUUUGACUUUUUUCUUAACUUUUUUGGGGAACUUAUUUCAAAACUUUGGGUUUCCGUCGAUACCAGUUGGACACCUCCAACUGAUCAAACAGAGAAUCUAAAAAUCAUCCAUUCAUCCAUUAAUCCAUCAUGCACCUAAAACUGUCAUCACAAUUAAGAAUCACUCACUUGAUUUCACUUAAUAACGUUGUUUUUGGCAAUUUUUUACUGACGUGUUUAGAAAAUAUGACAAAUUUAAUUUGACCUCAGCCAACAAAAAUAUCCUAAUUGUCAAAACAGAUUUAAGUAUUACUGGUUAAAAAGGCCUAAAUGACACAAAAGUCAUGAAAUUCUUCAUUAUUUUAUUUUUAUCAAAAUGUGAUGUUUGAAAAUACUUACCAAAUUAUUUUUCCGUGUAAAAAUAUCUUUUUAUUAAGCUCUUUUCUUUUCAUUUGAUGUUCCUUCAUUUUGUUUAAAUCUUAACAACAGAAGCGUUUUCUUUACAUUGAGUGCGUACCUGCAUUUCAGAUCUGCAUUUCUGGAAAACUACUGAAAUAAACUCUAUAAAGUCUCACCAUUUGAUAGAGUUCAGAAAAACAUGGAUUUCUGGAUUGAAUAUGAUGAGACACGUUCACAUCUUAGGAUAGAGUUCACGAUUUCACAUGCAUGUUUUCAUAAACACAUAUAGUCGUGCAUUCUGCACACAGAUACUGACUGUCCCAGCGACUCACUGCCAAACAAUAAAACUCCUCCCUUCUCUCCUUCCUCAUACCUCACCCCCCCUCAACUUUCAUUGGCUUCUUUUAAUCUCUGUUGGCUUUGCCACCUUGACAGGUAAAUGCAUUUGAGUCGCUGGAGCUCAUAAAGGAGUAAAAUGGUGAUAAA